UCCACGUCGCCCGUUAACCCGCUAACCGUUGGAUCGGGGUAGUAAGCGGCGCCAUCCGUCCGAUUGCGGGUUGGUUCGGGCAUCGACCCUGCUCAGCCAAACCGGGGCGCUCGCGAAUCCUCGCGAACCUGUGCUUCUCCUUCGCCUCUCCGCCACCCUCUUUCUCGCCUGCGCGCCGCCUGCAGCACGACCCGCCGCCCUCCGCCGACCGCCUGCGAGCAGCUGCGCUACCCGCCGCCCUCCGCCGACCGCUCGACCGCCUGCCGGCUUCCGCAUCGGUGGCCACGGACCUCGUCCGUUUGUCCCUCCGCUCCCCAAUCGAUUCUCCCGAGAUUCCGUCCCCUCCGCCCUGUCGGCCUCCCUCCUCCCCUCACCUGCCGUACUGCGCCGCCCGCAUCCAUAUUCUCCGGCCAGUGGACGGAGACAAGACAAAGCCCGUGUGAGGCUGUGCCGCCCACACCUCCCUCCACAUGGCAUCAUUGGCAUGCCGCUACUAUCCUCACCCGCUCUUCGACCGCUGCGAGCAAGGGCCCCUCUAAUUCCCGCAUCACCGAGGUCCACGUCGUCGGUUGUCGGUAAGGCACCUCUUAUUUCUUCCUCAACUGAUGCAGCACAGCUGCCCCUCCUUCCCUCUCUCGUACAAAGCAGAUCAGCAGGGGAGCUACAGCUCCGUUCCAAGCAAUCCCAUGGGUGGUCCUUGGUGUUCCUUCUCAACAAACGCAGCACACCUACUGCUCCUACCCUCUCAAGUACAGGCAGAUCGGAAGGGGGAGCUACAACUCCAUUGCAAGCAGUCCCAUGGGUGUUGCGGUCUCCUCUAAUGGCAAAGUCAUUCCACUUCUGAACAAAUUUCUUGGGACAAAGGAAAAGCGUUUGCUGCUGAUGGUGAGGGCAUAGAAAACCAUUAGGUUCUGUGAUCCCCUUGCAUGUGUGCUCCUCCACCUGAUGUCGUUGGGCCUGAGAACCAUGGGCAUGGGCGCCAGGGAACACAAGCUGUGACGAGCAAGUCAGUCCGCCGCACCAAGACCCAUUGCGUGAUUCUCUGAAAGAUUUUCAUGCUUCAGUAGUUCACACCUCCAGCAUAUUUAUUUAUUUAUUUUGUAAAAAGGGACCUUGAAGUUGAAGUGCUCAUAUAACGUUAAUAUGUCCUUGGACCUCCUAAGGCCUAAGCUAAUGUCUGAAUGUACCACCAGAAGUGCCCAUGCGAAUGAAAUAGACCACCACAACUGCCCAUUCGAAUGAAUUAGAGACCAUAACUGCUAGCAACCAUUGGAUUACUUCAAGUACAGAAAAUUCCUCGUACGAAAGUUAC